rnacentral:misc_RNA from 1 species
GGAAAAGUGAAAAAUCACCAUUUUAGCCAUUCAAUGUUUUGUCCAUUCUCAGGAUGACACAACUAAAAAUUCAAAUUACUAAUCACUUCAUGAUUCUAAGAUAAUAGUCUCAUCUAACUAUCAGGGAAACCAAACUCCUAAAUUGAUAAAUUUUCCAAUGCACUAAACAAUGUAAGGCAAUUUGAAACAAUAAAGUGAGUAUAGGAUAUUGCCCUGUUACCCUUGACAUAGCAAGUAAUUUUGAUGUUACAGGAAAAUGUUAAGAAGCUUUCUUGGGAGGAGACAUAUUAUGAAUUAGUGAAAUUACAGUGGCAGUAGUAAAUAUCUGCACAAGCAAUCCGAGCACGAGCAGAACAGUUUCAAUAAGUUCAAACUUCUUUCUUUCCAUGUCACUCAGGUUCCAAAAAACCUGGGCAGAAAAUUCAUUGUGAGAUUUUGAUGGUAAUUACUGCUUCAAUUCUAGGGUUAAACACACAGCUCCAAUGUGUUCAUUUUUAUUUAUUAACAUAGAAACUGCUGCAAACCCAACCAACAAAAUGCAAUUUUUAAAAGGAGAAAGAACACAGAUAGAAGCACCAAAUUCUUCUGUUUAUGCCAAAUUCCAUCUACUUCAGGUAUCAAGCUACAUAUAGUUCAUCCAGACAAAAGCACCUGCACUGUAGCAUCUUUACAUGGUACAAUAGGACAUUCUAUAUUUGGUAAAAUUUAACAAGAAUCAUUAGCAGAUUUGGAACCCACAUAUAACAGUUUUUCAAGAUAGAUUUUCCAAUCCAAUGAAACCUGUCAAAAGGACUAAGCAAUACUGAACCAAUGUUUGCCCUCAAAAAUAAUGAACCGACUUACCUCUAAUGUUGAAUUGCUGCUAAUGGCACAAAAUACUGAGAGAAGUAUUGCAAUAGAUGACAUGAUGAUGUAAACUCUCAAGAAACCUACUCUACUCCGUCUUCGACCUAAUUCCCCGAUGAGAAGAGAAAUCAACCCAAUGACGGAAGAUGAAAUAGUGAGUUUGUUUGGACCAUUCUCCUUUGAUGUUGAUAAAACAAUAUAUAGCAGUCCUAUCAAUAGAAUGACAGCCUGAGUUAAGAUCAGUGCAUAGAGACGAGACUUUCCUUUGGCUACCUUUGUAUAACCUAAAAUUUAAAAAUACAAAAGUUUCAAUUAAUCGAAAAAAGAAAAUGAGCAGAAAGAAGAACUUAAAGCCAUGGAAAUCUAAUUACAACUCCAAAAAACCCUAACCCCUUUUGAUUCGAACAAAUGAAAGAAGCAAGCUUACGGGAAUCAACGACCAUCCUAUACGAGAAAUCAGAGCCAUCGGUUCCAGAUGGCCUCCCUGAUUUUCUCUGCUGCAUCUUCCUUUUGUCCUCUUAAAAGCAACUCCAAGUCUACGGAGGGCACGAAGAAAUCGUGUAACAAAUAAGCUAUGGAAGUGAAGAGAAAGCAAGAACUUACAGAGAGCACAGGAGCAGGAUCGAAUGGUAAACCAAAUCAGGAUGAGAUGGAGGAGCUAGCCAGGGAUGGUGGAGACAGAGCAGCAGACCAGAGAGGAGAAAUCGAACAAGGAAAAGGGUAGAAAACAGAGACGACGAUGGUUCAGAUAGAAAUAAG